AUGUCCACUGCCUAGUGGACAUGGCAUCUGUUCGGUAAUCGGAACACUGUGGGUUCGAUUCCCAUCCCUGGACACU
rnacentral:tRNA from 1 species